rfam:Nematostella vectensis strain CH2 x CH6 NEMVEscaffold_9486_Cont56045, whole genome shotgun sequence.
GGCUCGGUGGCCAAGUGGCAAGGCGUUGGUCUCGUAAACCAAAGAUCACGGGUUCGAAUCCCGUCCGGGCCU